UACGUAGGCAGCGAGCGUUGUUCGGAAUUACUGGGCGUAAAGAGUGUGUAGGCGGUGCUCUAAGUUCGGUGUGAAAUCUCCUGGCUUAACUGGGAGGGUGCGCCGAAAACUGGAGUGCUCGAGCGUGGGAGAGGAAAGCGGAAUUCCUGGUGUAGCGGUGAAAUGCGUGGAUAUCGAGAAGAACACUUAGGGCGUAGGCAAGACUCUGGACAAAUGCUGACGCUCAUGCACGAAGGCUAGGGUAGCGAACGGG
rnacentral:rRNA from 1 species